UGGGGAAUUUUGGACAAUGGGCGAAAGCCUGAUCCAGCAAUGCCGCGUGUGUGAAGAAGGCCUUCGGGUUGUAAAGCACUUUUGUCCGGAAAGAAAUCCUUGGCUCUAAUACAGUCGGGGGAUGACGGUACCGGAAGAAUAAGCACCGGCUAACUACGUGCCAGCAGCCGCGGUAAUACGUAGGGUGCAAGCGUUAAUCGGAAUUACUGGGCGUAAAGCGUGCGCAGGCGGUUUGCUAAGACCGAUGUGAAAUCCCCGGGCUCAACCUGGGAACUGCAUUGGUGACUGGCAGGCUAGAGUAUGGCAGAGGGGGGUAGAAUUCCACGUGUAGCAGUGAAAUGCGUAGAGAUGGUGGAGGAAUACCGAUGGCGAAGGCAGCCCCCCUGGGCCAAUACUGACGCUCAUGCACGAAAGCGUGGGGAGCAAACAGGAUUNGAUACCCCUGGUAGUCCACGCCCUAAAACGAUGUCACUAGUUGUUGGGGAUCAUUUCCUUAGUAACGUAGCUAACGCGUGAAGUUGACCGCCUGGGGAGUACGUCGCAAGAUUAAAACUCAAAUGAAUUGNCGGGGUCAUAGCUGUUUCC
rnacentral:rRNA from 1 species